AUCGCUUAGGAAUCCUGUUAAAAUGCAGGUUCUGAUUCAGCAGGAGACUCAAGGUUCUGCUUUUCUAACAAGCUCCCAGGUGACGCUGA
rfam:Macaca mulatta chromosome X, whole genome shotgun sequence.